AUUGUUUUAAAACAUAAUUUUACCAAGACUCUUCUCUUUGUUCUACCAUUUUGUCCAGAAAAAAAAAAUCCUUAUUUUUUUCUUUUGGUUUCAUAAAUACUGAAGUACUUGGACAAUAUAUGCAUCAAUAUAUGCAUCUGAGUGUUAUUAGUUUUCUCAGGGAAGCCCAAGAGGGUAACAUUCCUAAAGCACUAGAAUGAGACUUUUAAGUCCAUAAUAGCUCUUCCCUUGUAGCUUUACCCUCGAUCCUAUAUGAAAAAGCAGUAGAUAAAUAUGCAUCGGAGAUUCACCAGGAGAAGAGUUGAAAAAAAAAGAACAUGGAGUAACAUGGCUGUACUGACAUUCCCUAUCCUCUCUCUCUCCACUUUCUACCUGCAGAUCUAACCAUGCCAACCCAAACCUGUGGGUCAUCACGUAAUCAACUGCACUCCUUAUUACAGGACUGGACAGAGAUUACCCACUAAAAUUGUUCUCUUAAAUCCAUACUACUCCCCGCAGGUGUUCCCUGGGAAGGAGGAAGGACUUUAGAAGAGCAGAUAAAGUCAAGCAUACAGGCAUCAUUCACAUAUCUGUCAGAAAAUUAUGGAAUUAAAAAAAAUCUCUUCAGGCCAAAGUUAACCUGUUUGAAACUGACCACUGGGAGUUGGCCUUCUGUCUAAAGUUUUGGCUAUUCAUGUGCUCCCAGCUGCCCAAUCAGGUCCUGAAGAACAUCAGCAUCAUUGACAGCCCUGGAAUCCUGUCUGGGGAGAAGCAGCGCAUCAGCCGAGGAGGAACACUCACUGGGGGAACUUCCUUCUCGUUUGAAGGGGAAAGUGGUACAAGGCUCAUGGAGAUAUAUUUUGGACAAGGCAUCGGAUCUUUUCACAAUUGUCAUCAUACCGCAUGAACAGAUAUUUUUUCUAAUACAAUAUCCAGAACCCUCUGUAUUUAGGCAGAAUCAAGGUCUCUGGAUACCCUAUGCUGGUCAGGCUCGCUGUGAGGGCAGGGAAUGGAAAGUGAGUGACUUUUCACAUUCUAUCUUUUGUAUCUUUUGAAUUUUGUGUUGUGAACAUGUAUCAUUUUAUUUCAAAAAUUAAGCUGUUGGGGAUCCCUGGGUGGCGCAGCGGUUUGGCGCCUGCCUUUGGCCCAGGGCGCGAUCCUGGAGACCCGGGAUCGAAUCCCACAUUGGGCUCCCGGUGUAUGGAGCCUGCUUCUCCCUCUGCCUGUGUCUCUCUGCCUCUCUCUCUCUCUCUGUGACUAUCAUAAAUAAAUAAAAAUUAAAAACAAAAACA
rnacentral:lncRNA from 1 species